UCUCCGUAGGUGAACCUGCGGAGGGCUCAUUACUGAGUGAGGGCCGUCGGGCUCGACCUCCAACCCUUUGUGAACCGUACUCGUUGCUUCGGGGGCGACCCUGCCGUCCGCGGCUGAGCGCCCCCGGGGUCAAUCAAACACUGCAUCAUUGCGUCGGAGUUAAAGUAAAUUAAACAAAACUUUCAACAACGGAUCUCUUGGUUCCAGCAUCGAUGAAGAACGCAGC
rnacentral:misc_RNA from 1 species